UUAAAUGUUUAGAAUACUUUCUACUAAUACAUUCCUUACCAGUCUAGAAAGUUCUUGCAAUGGAGUAUCUCCUCUAAAGCUUGCCAUUAGCAUUGAUAUAAGGAAGGGAAAGAGAUAAACAUCUGAGAAGAAAGCUAUAAGACAGUGUAUUGAGACAGUCUAGAAACAGGUAUGAGAUCAAAGUAAAUUGCAACAAUUCAUCUUCUGCUUGUUAAAUUUAUGUGAAGAACUUAAAAAGAAAAUUGCAAACUUUUCUUUCAGCCUAUAAAGCUGUAAGUUCAGAAGAUAAGAAAUAAACCUUAGCAACAAGUAUCACAUUGAGGAUUUGUAUACUCAUUGCCACUUCCAGAACUUUUUUCCUCACUGGGAUACAGUUCUAGACAUCUUCUGUAGGUUUGGGGGUAAGGAGAGAUUUUUUGUCUUAAAAUACAUUAAAGAUCAAUUAAAAUUAAAAAUUGAUCAUAUUUGCCAAAUCAUUCCCUUUAAAUAUAUUUAUUAUUUUGUAUUAAGCAAUAAUACUCACCAGUUAGUCUGUGGAUCUCAAAAGUCUAUCAUGAAUGUGUACUAACACUAGUACAGUGAGUAAACUAUGACAUGUCAUUUUUAAUAUUGUGCUGAAAAAUGCUGAGCAUCAGUUUGAUCUCUCACUAACAGACCUCACUUUUAAAAUGUCAUGGAUUCAGAGUUAAUGGGAGGAAUAAUUAAAUAUCCUUUGUGUGGUGGUAGUUGAAAUGGUAAGAAGCCACCAGUGAGCUGUGUGGGGAGGCGAGUUAGAAUUUUUACACUGUACCUGAUAGAGGGAAGUUUGCACUGAAUGUGUGUGUGCAGCUCUAUUUUUUUGCCCAUUUUUAAGGCAGAAAAUGAAAGCCCCUGGAAGAUGAGAGAAGUUAUCCAUAGUGUUGCAAAGGAUUCUCUCCCCAGGAGAAAUGGGGGUCUUCCCAUUGUAAGAAGACUAUUUUACAGCAACGAAAUACUUGGAUUGAACAAUCAGUUGCUGCAGCUAAAGGAGUCAACUAAUUCCAGUAUUGGCUAAGCAUCUUCUCAUAAAAGUGUGUCCAAGAACACAGUGCCUGCAUUGAUCAGAUUUGAAUAGCCUAAUCUUCAGAUGACUGAGUAAAAAAACAAUUAAUAAGCCCCCUUUAUGUUGAGGAGGAUGGGAUUAGAAUGGAUGCAAACUACUCAUGAGACCUUGCUCCCUACUAAGAGGAAAUUGUCAAAAAUCCAGAUGGUCUAAUAAACAUUUCCAAAACAG